rnacentral:rRNA from 1 species
ACUCCUACGGGAGGCAGCAGUGGGGAAUAUUGCACAAUGGGGGAAACCCGUAGCAUGCAGCCAUGCCGCGUGUGUGAAGAAGGCCUUCGGGUUGUAAAGCACUUUCAGUAGGGAGGAAGGUAUGUAGUUACACCUGCAUUAUUGACGUUACCUACAGAAGAAGCACCGGCUAACUCCGUGCCAGCAGCCGCGGUAAUACGGAGGGUGCGAGCGUUAUCCGGAUUUAUUGGGUUUAAAGGGUCCGUAGGCGGAUUAAUAAGUCAGUGGUGAAAUCCCAUCGCUUAACGAUGGAACUGCCAUUGAUACUGUUAGUCUUGAAUGAGGGUGCAGUGGUUGGAAUGUGUAGUGUAGCGGUGAAAUGCAUAG